UACGUAGGGUGCAAGCGUUUAAUCGGAAUUACUGGGCGUAAAGCGUGCGCAGGCGGUUUUGUAAGCCAGAUGUGAAAUCCCCGGGCUUAACCUGGGAAUGGCAUUUGGGACUGCAAGGCUCGAGUGCGGCAGAGGAGACUGGAAUUCCUGGUGUAGCAGUGAAAUGCGUAGAUAUCAGGAGGAACACCGAUGGCGAAGGCAGGUCUCUGGGCUGACACUGACGCUCAUGCACGAAAGCGUGGGGAGCAAACAGGAUUA
rnacentral:rRNA from 1 species